UUGAAAUCAAUCAGUUAAAGUAAUCUCGAUCAUUUUUGCUUGAUCAUGCUUAGUCAGUCAAUUAAUAAUAAUCUCUGAUUCUGUUUUGAGUGUCUGUCGCGUGUCUGUUUGUCUUGUUUUGAGUCGUCGUUUAUAAGUUAGUCAGUCACCUGGUGGGUGAUUGUGGUGGAGAGGGAGGUCUGGUGUUGAUAAUGAUGGUUAUGUAUGCUUACACGGUGUUUGUUGUUAUGUUUUAUAAGGACGAUGAAUUGAAGGCUGGUUUUACUGCAUUGUAUCCCCGAACCCCGCAGACGUAAUAAGUGUCAUUGUAGAGCUAGAAUCUGGAAAACAGAGAGGAAGUGACAUGUUGCGGCAUAUUUUACUACCAUGUCACAAUUCUGCAACCUCCCUGCUCUUUAGAAUGGUCAUGGAAAGUGAUUGCUGCAGCUAUUUGUGUGCUUGUUUGAGCAUCUUAAACAGGCCCCCGACUGCAAAAGACUAUUCAGGCCUAAACUUGGUAGGAUCGAGGUGAACUGACAAAUCUUUGACUCUGCUUUUGUUGGACAGUUGUUGCUGCAACCAGCACUGCUAGAUAUACUUUCUUUCCAUAUGAUGACUUUGUGGAUGAUAAUAUGGAUGUUGAACUUGGAUUAGGGGAACCAUCAAAUUGUUAACUAUGAUUUAGAUAUUCAUGCCAGUCUGUUGUAUUAGGGCCUUUGCUUUUAGAUUCUCAAAACCUUUUAGCCAUCUUGACUGAAAAAAAGUACAGAAUUUGUUGUGUGCAUGGUUGGACUUUUGGCAUGCCUUGGGAACGUGGAUUGUUCUCACAGUAUUGGCAGUCAUUGUUAGAGGCUAGGUUUAUGUUGUCUAACAUAUUUAAAAAACUGAUUCGUGUUAAGGCUAAUCAAUCCGCGGUUCCAAGUUUUUUGAGUGUAUAUUAUCUAGGUUAAUAGGCAGGAGCCCAGGGGGAAUCUGAAGACAUCCUUCAAUUAGGACAUGAUAAAACUAAGCCAUCAAGUAAUGUUUCUCAAGAAGUAUGGAAAAAUACGCAAAACACAAAUUCUGAUUCCCCAAAACCAUAUCCUUCGAUUUGUGAGACUGCUGUCUUAUGGUACAAGUUCUUAACAAACCUACUUUCCCUCUAUCUAACAAAUUCUCUGGCCAUAGGAUAGCUAUGUUAGUACUCCAAAGAAUGUCAUUUUCCUUGUUGACAUAUAUGGUGAGUUGUAUAUGUUAUUUAUGCAUUUCGAAUUCUGGAAAUGGUUGAUCUGUGGCAAUAAAUUCUAGAUGAAAUUUACUGUGGAAAGGGAAAUGUAUUUGUUGUUUUUUCUGUUGUUGGUGAAAUAGACAUGGUUGGAGGAGCAAGAGGAAGGAAAUGUGAAUUGUUGACAUGAUACAGGUCAUCAACAACUGGUUCCACAGGCAGAUAGAGAUGACGUUUUCAAGGUAGCACUUGAUGAAGAUUGAGGGUUGAGGUUAAAGGGCCAUAGUUCUCAUAUUUCUUUCAUUAAAAAAGGAGGAGGUUAAUUAUUUGUUCAUUCAGGUUGUGACAGAGAUGAAAAAAAUGAUAUGGUCGUUCUGGUACUGAGGUGAUGGUAACGGAUAAAGAAUUUUUCAUUCAUCAAAGAUCCUUUUCAAGCUUGCUAUUACCUUGAGAUAUCUAGAUUUGAGAUGGGUUCUUUCAACUGAUAAAGCUAUAAAAGCCACAAAAUCAGGCAAGUUCGUAUGAUAAAUAAGACAGAAAAGGUCUGGUCCUUCAAACUAUAUCGUGUCUUUGCCCUGAUCUCUAGUGCUUCUAGUUUCUUGGAACAUUAAUCUCUGCUAUCAAUGUAACAUGAACCACUUUGAGCAGUUUUCGGAGCCUGUUAAUACUGUGGAAACGAUGAACUUUUUGCUGGUCACACCGCAGGCUAAUAUAAUUCCCUCUUUGUUCUCUCA